rnacentral:lncRNA from 1 species
CCUAGAGGUUCAUCAUUCUAUUCUGCUGGGUAGCUACUACAUACUGCUAGGUGUCACUGGUAGAUGGUGAGACUCACGGGGACCAUCUCGAUGGUCGAUGAUCUCUGGUGAGUUGAGUUGGAAUUGUUCCAACUCAUUGAAAGAAGUUUUCAAUGAUAUUGUGAUAGAGAUCGCAAUAUAUCUCACUACCAGACAGAAUAGAACCUAUGGGGUCACACACAUUAGAGGUAUUGACCGAUCCGAUGGUUGAAUUAUGAUUUGGAAUCACAAAUAAUUUAUAAUUAUCAAUUUGAUUGAUAAUUGGUAAACCCACUAAGAGUUAGUGAGUUGAAGAAGGAAUAAU